GGCCCAGUGGUGUAGUGGUAACAUACUCCAGUUUCCCGAGGCGUUUCCUUUCAGUCGUUUGGCGUUUGGGGGGGUCACCUUGGAAUAGACUAGACAAGACAUAGAGGAUAGAAUAGAGGGCAUAUACAACAUAUACAGCGCUUGAGCCGAGGACGGAGUCGCUGGAGUGAGGCAGGUUCGAAUCCUGCUUGGGCUA